rnacentral:rRNA from 1 species
CCUACGGGUGGCAGCAGUGAGGAAUAUUGGUCAAUGGGCGCGAGCCUGAACCAGCCAAGUAGCGUGAAGGAUGACUGCCCUACGGGUUGUAAACUUCGUUUAUAAAGGAAUAAAGUGAGGCACGUGUGCCUUUUUGUAUGGACGUUAUGAAUAAGGAUCGGCUAACUCCGUGCCAGCAGCCGCGGUAAUACGGAGGAUCCGAGCGUUAUCCGGAUUUAUUGGGUUUAAAGGGAGCGUAGAGGGGUUGUUAAGUCAGUUGUGAAAGUUUGCGGCGCAACCGUAAAAUUGCACUUGAUACUGGCAGUCUUGAGUACAGUUGAGGUCGGCGGAAUUCGUGGUGUCGCGGUGAACUGCUUAGAUAUCACG